rnacentral:rRNA from 1 species
UACGUAGGUGGCAAGCGUUGUCCGGAUUUAUUGGGUUUAAAGGGUGCGUAGGCGGCCUUUUAAGUCAGUGGUGAAAGCCCGCGGCUCAACCGCGGAACUGCCAUUGAUACUGGAAGGCUUGAGUACAGACGAGGUGGGCGGAAUUGAAGAUGUAGCGGUGAAAUGCUUAGAUAUCUUCAAGAACACCGAUUGCGUAGGCAGCUUACUAGGCUGUAACUGACGCUGAGGCACGAAAGCGUGGGGAGCGAACAGG